CGGGUGUGGCCCCGGUCUAAGUUCCUUGGAACAGGACGUCACAGAGGGUGAGAAUCCCGUACGUGCCCGGUGGCCGCCCCCGUGUGAAGCUCCUUCGACGAGUCGAGUUGUUUGGGA
rnacentral:rRNA from 1 species